UGUGUAUAGAAACUUCAACUUUGAUAUGCAUGGGAUUCAUUUCCUUGUGAUUAUCCAGAGGAUACCAACAACCUGGCUAAAUAAUCAAAUGAAGGAAAACAAGGCCUUUUCGAUGGAUGUAGCAGUAAUUCAUGCCAACAUAAGUUAGGACUCAACAAUAGUAAUGCCAACAGCCAUGCUGAAAGAUCAGAAGAUAGAAAGAAAGCUAUUUUGUUGAUAUUCAGCACAACACUUGUGGCAUAUAAUUAGUUUAUCCCAGUGCAAAGAACAACCCUGUCCUUUAGUUGGUGUUUAUGUCCAAGGAGGUGCACAAGCCAUGUGUAGGGAUCUAAUCAAGCACUGCAUCUUUAACAAAUCUACGAAAGAUAAUACAGCACAUACAUUUUGUAAUGCUAUUAAAAAUGCAACAUUAGAUUAUGUCGUUAACCUUAAGGUGACAGAUCUCAAUAUCUCACGCAUGCAUUAAUGCAUAUGCAGACAAGAAUUUUUAUCCAGAGCAUAUAUCAUAUGCAUACAGUUCUGUAGUUUUUCCAACCAAAAUAAACCAUGUUAGCAGAUGAAAAUUACAACAUUUAUCUGUCUGCAAGUGUGAAUUGAGGAAUUUUUGUAUCAUGCUAAUUGAGUUUACUAAAACUCAUUGGUAAUAUUGUCAAUUCCAAUCUUAGGGAAAAACAUCAAGACCCAAGUUAUAUCACAAUUAGAAAUGCUUACAUGUUAUAAUAUUUUUGAAGUCACAGAAAAUUGUUAGUUAUUUAGUUCUAAAACAUUUACGGAAACACUCC
rnacentral:misc_RNA from 1 species